rnacentral:rRNA from 1 species
CUACGUAGGUGGCGAGCGUUGUCCGGAUUUACUGGGUGUAAAGGGCGAGUAGGCGGGAAUUCAAGUCAGAUGUGAAAUACCGAGGCUUAACUUCGGAGCUGCAUUUGAAACUGGAUUUCUUGAGUGAUGGAGAGGCAGGCCGAAUUCCCGGGGUAGCGGUGAAAUGCAUAGAGAUCGAGAUGAACAUCAGUGGCGAAGGCGGCCUGCUGGCCAUUAACUGACGCGUAGGCGCUAAAGUGUGGGGAGCAAACAGGAUUUGAUACCCGGGUAGCCCACAUCGUAAACGAUGGAUACUAGGUGUGGGGGGUUUGACCCCCUCCGUGCCGUAGUUAACACAAUAAGUAUCCCACCUGGGGAGUACGAUCGCAAGAUUGAAACUCAAAUGAAUUGACGUGG